rnacentral:rRNA from 1 species
UACAGAGGUCCCAAGCGUUGUUCGGAUUCACUGGGCGUAAAGGGUGCGUAGGCGGUCGGGUAAGUCUGAUGUGAAAUCUCACAGCUUAACUGUGAAACUGCAUUGGAUACUAUCCGGCUCGAGGAAUGGAGGGGAGACUGGAAUACUUGGUGUAGCAGUGAAAUGCGUAGAUAUCAAGUGGAACACCAGUGGCGAAGGCGAGUCUCUGGACAUUUCCUGACGCUGGGGCACGAAAGCCAGGGGAGCGAACGGG